rnacentral:rRNA from 2 species
GGGUUGUGAGGUUAAGCGACUAAGCGUACACGGUGGAUGCCCUGGCAGUCAGAGGCGAUGAAGGGCGUGCUAAUCUGCGAUAAGCGCCGGUAAGGUGAUAUGAACCGUUAUAACCGGCGAUACCCGAAUGGGGAAACCCAGUGUGAUUCGUCACACUAUCAUUACGUGAAUACAUAGCGUAAUGAAGCGAACCGGGGGAACUGAAACAUCUAAGUACCCCGAGGAAAAGAAAUCAACCGAGAUUCCCCCAGUAGCGGCGAGCGAACGGGGAGGAGCCCAGAGCCUGAAUCAGCAUGUGUGUUAGUGGAAGCGUCUGGAAAGGCGCGCGAUACAGGGUGACAGCCCCGUACACAAAAGCGCAUGUGUUGUGAGCUCGAUGAGUAGGGCGGGACACGUGGUAUCCUGUCUGAAUAUGGGGGGACCAUCCUCCAAGGCUAAAUACUCCUGACUGACCGAUAGUGAACCAGUACCGUGAGGGAAAGGCGAAAAGAACCCCGGCGAGGGGAGUGAAAAAGAACCUGAAACCGUGUACGUACAAGCAGUGGGAGCACCCUUUGGGG